rnacentral:rRNA from 1 species
UACGGAGGGAGCUAGCGUUGUUCGGAAUUACUGGGCGUAAAGCGUGCGUAGGCGGUUAUUCAAGUCAGAGGUGAAAGCCCGGGGCUCAACCCCGGAACGGCCUUUGAAACUAGGUAGCUAGAAUCUUGGAGAGGUCAGUGGAAUUCCGAGUGUAGAGGUGAAAUUCGUAGAUAUUCGGAAGAACACCAGUGGCGAAGGCGGCUCACUGAACGUGUAUUGACGCUGAGGCACGAAAGCGUGGGGAGCAAACAGG